AUCGCUUCUCGGCCUUUUGGCUAAGAUCAAGUGUAAAAUUCCUUUAGCCUAAUUUUAUCAUGAAAUAUUUUUCUCUGACCCUCA
ensembl:snRNA LOC120099543 U2 spliceosomal RNA